rnacentral:rRNA from 1 species
CAGUCGCCGCGGUAAUACAGAGGCCUCAAGCGUUGUUCGGAUUCAUUGGGCGUAAAGGGUGCGUAGGUGGCUUGGUAAGUUGAAGGUGAAAUCUCGGGGCUUAACCUCGAAACUGCCUUCAAUACUGCUAGGCUCGAGGACUGUAGAGGAGAAUGGAAUUCACGGUGUAGCAGUGAAAUGCGUAGAUAUCGUGAGGAAGACCAGUGGCGAAGGCGAUUCUCUGGGCAGUUCCUGACACUGAGGCACGAAGGCCAGGGGAGCAAACGGGAUUAGAUACCCCCGUAGUCCCUGUCUCUUAUAC